ACUUACGGCCAUACCAUCCUGAAUACGCCUGAUCUCGUCUGAUCUCGGAAGCUAAGCAGGGUCGGGCCUGGUUAGAACUUUGAUGGGAGACCGCCUGGGAAUACCAGGUGCUGUAAGUC
rnacentral:rRNA from 1 species